GAUGAACGCUAGCGGCAGGCUUAACACAUGCAAGUCGAGGGGUAUAGUUCUUCGGAACUAGAGACCGGCGCACGGGUGCGUAACGCGUAUGCAAUCUACCUUUCACAAAGGGAUACGCCCAGAGAAAUUUGGAUUAAUACCUUAUAGUAAUACGACUUGGCAUCAAGAUGUAUUUAAAGAUUUAUCGGUGAAAGAUGAGCAUGCGUCCCAUUAGCUAGUUGGUAAGGUAACGGCUUACCAAGGCAACGAUGGGUAGGGGUCCUGAGAGGGAGAUCCCCCACACUGGUACUGAGACACGGACCAGACUCCUACGGGAGGCAG
rnacentral:rRNA from 1 species